rnacentral:rRNA from 1 species
UACGUAGGGGGCAAGCGUUGUCCGGAAUCAUUGGGCGUAAAGAGCGUGUAGGCGGCCCGAUAAGUCCGCCGUGAAAGUCCAGGGCUCAACCCUGGAAUGCCGGUGGAAACUGUCGGGCUGGAGUCCGGAAGAGGCGAGUGGAAGUUCCUGGUGUAGCGGUGAAAUGCGCAGAUAUCAGGAGGAACACCAAUGGCGAAGGCAGCUCGCUGGGACGGUACUGACGCUGGAGACGCGAAAGCGUGGGGGAGCAAACAGG